rnacentral:piRNA from 1 species
UGUGUACCAGUAUGGACGGGAAUG